rnacentral:lncRNA from 1 species
UGUACAGAGGGUACUCACAUUCAAUGCAACCCCCAUUAAAUGCUUUCAUCUUCAAUGCAUCUCAUCUUCUUGUUUGGUAAACCCCUCUCUCUCUCUCUCUUCGUGAUCUUUUCUAGCAUCUUGCAUUUACUCCUCACUUCACACACAGCACAUAGAAUGGAAACAGUUGAUUUACACUUUUCUUGGCGCAAUUCUUGAAAUACUACUGUUGCAAGCAUUUAUCUCCUAAAACAUUAACACAGAAUCCAUUUUUAUCCUCUUAAAUAUGCUCCAUUUAUGUGUCUGGAGAUGUAUAUGCAUCAAUUACAUUGGAAAGAAGGAAAUGUUUUUGGAGGUAUAUAUCUAAUGUUUUUACAGCCAAAAAUCAUCUAGUUUGACCCUAUUAUCUCUAUAUAUUUUUUGGGGUUUGGGAAAGUCUUGAUUUGAUGUUAUCUAGCAAUUCGGUGUAUAGAAAGUGAUAUUGUAUUAUGAUUGGCAAGAAAGAAUUGGGAAAUAAAACAAGCAAAGCCUCUCAAGACUGGAAUACAAAGCAAAGUAUCAUCACAACAUCAAAUUCUAAGACUUGAAUCUAGAAAAUAAUUACUAUUUGUGUUUGACAG